rnacentral:rRNA from 1 species
UACGUAGGUGGCAAGCGUUGUCCGGAUUUAUUGGGUUUAAAGGGUGCGUAGGCGGGCUAUUAAGUCAGUGGUGAAAGCCUACAGCUUAACUGUAGAAUUGCCAUUGAUACUGAUAGUCUUGAGUAUGAUUGAGGUGGGCGGAAUGUGUCAUGUAGCGGUGAAAUGCUUAGAUAUGACACAGAACACCGAUUGCGAAGGCAGCUCACUAAGCCAUAACUGACGCUGAUGCACGAAAGCGUGGGGAGCAAACAGG